GAUGAACGCUGGCGGCGUGCCUAAUACAUGCAAGUCGAGCGAACAGACGAGGAGCUUGCUCCUCUGACGUUAGCGGCGGACGGGUGAGUAACACGUGGAUAACCUACCUAUAAGACUGGGAUAACUUAGGGAAACCGGAGCUAAUACCGGAUAAUCUAUUGAACCGCAUGGUUCAAUAGUGAAAGACGGUUUUGCUGUCACUUAUAGAUGGAUCCGCGCCGCAUUAGCUAGUUGGUAAGGUAACGGCUUACCAAGGCGACGAUGCGUAGCCGACCUGAGAGGGUGAUCGGCCACACUGGAACUGAGACACGGUCCAGACUCCUACGGGAGGCAGCAGUAGGGAAUCUGCCGCAAUGGGCGAAAGCCUGACGGAGCAACGCCGCGUGAGUGAUGAAGGUCUUCGGAUCGUAGAACUCUGUUAUUAGGGAAGAACAAAUGUGUAAGUGACUAUGCACGUCUUGACGGUACCUGAACAGAAAGCCACGGCUAACUACGUG
rnacentral:rRNA from 1 species